GCUGUAUUCUAUGCUUUCUGAAAUAAAAUAAGUUCGCAAAUAAAUCCUUGAAAUUACAAUUAUUUUAGAGUCUUCGUCGUGAAAUGGACUCUCAGCAGGCACGGACGAUCGUCACGCAGCUGCAGCGCAAACUGGGACAAAUGGAGGCAGACCAUGAUCAAGAGAUUAAUUAACUGAAGUUAUCGUUUGAAGAAACGAUGAGAUACCGCCUUAAUUCCUUUAUCUGUCAGACAGGAUCUUGAAGACACUAUCGCAGCACUAAGAUCCCAGAAUAACUCGUUACAACAGCGGGUAUCUAUUCUGCAGGAGUCGCUGGAUGAGGUUCAAGUGAAUGUCUACCGUUAGUCCCAUUGACAGUUCUUGCUUUGGGUUAGACAACAGUUUGGUCCAUGGAGGUGAAAAGUUUUCUCUCUCGGUGUAUUUCCAUGACAAUUAUUCAGCAGGAAAGGAUCAGUGAAAACCUGUGCUGAAGGCAAACGCUCUACCAAGAUUUUUUUCUUUUGUAUUUUUUUUUUUGUAUGUGCAAUAUUGUAGUAACUCUUACUACUCCUGGAUCACAGUGUCUUAUAUGUAGUGAUCGUACCAGUUCCAUCGCCAUGAUGUCCACCAAAUACACUGACGAUCACAAUGUCUUAUAUGUAGUGAUCAGACCAGUUCCGUCGCCAUGGUGUCCACCAAAUACACUGACGAUCACAAUGUCUUAUAUGUAGUGAUCGGACCAGUUCCAUCGCCAUGCUGUCCACUGAUGCUGGUCUCGCUCCGCUGGUAUCACACUCGAAUGGAGAUUAAUGGGUCCUAGGUUCAAAUCCCAGUUGUUUGUCCCUUCCCAUUAUGUUUGGUGCAGUAAUUAUUCCCUGGAACUGACAAGCUAAACUACCUGUCACGGAAUAGCUUGGCUGUCUUUGGAGGUUACAGACAUUGAUUAAAGUAGCAGUCAUAUAAUUUUGAUUUUCAGUGACUAGAGAAAGUUCAUUUGUUAAAGCACAAAACAAUCUUUUUGUUUACUUGUACAAUGCUUAAUGUAUGUAUAUUUUAUCAAUGUUUACUUGUAAGAAACCUAUA